AGCAGCCGCGGUAAUUCCAGCUCCAAUAGCGUAUAUUAAAGUUGUUGCAGUUAAAAAGCUCGUAGUUGAAUUUCGGGGUUAGUAAGUUGGUCAUGCCUCUGGUAUGCACUGGCUUUACUGAUUCCUCCUUCUUGAUGAACUGUAAUGCCAUUAAUUUGGUGUUGCAGGGAAUCAGGACUGUUACUUUGAAAAAUUAGAGUGUUUAAAGCAGGCAUAAGCUUGAAUACAUUAGCAUGGAAUAAUGAAAUAGGACGUUUGAUCCUAUUUUGUUGGUUUCUAGGAUUGACGUAAUGAUUAAUAGGGAUAGUUGGGGGCAUUAGUAUUCAAUUGUCAGAGGUGAGAUUCUUGGAUUUAUUGAAGACUAACUACUGCGAAAGCAUUUGCCAAGGAUGUUUUCAUUAAUCAAGAACGAAAGUUAGGGGAUCGAAGACGAUCAGAUACCGUCGUAGUCUUAACCAUAAACUAUGCCGACUAGGGAUCGGAUGAUGUUAUUUUAAUGACUCAUUC
rnacentral:rRNA from 1 species